ACCCACGCACGCCCAGGGGAAGCGCCGAGUUCCGGGCGUUCAGGGUCGGCCCCGAGCAGGGGGAAGGGAAGCGCUCUCCGUGUCGGGGCGGGCGGAGGGGCGUGAGGAAAGUCCUACGGUGGCCGCAGAGGGACGUUUCUACGGCUCCCACGCUGGGCCAAACGCCGCCGGGCGCCGGGCGCGGGAGCCCCUGGCCCUUCGGGGCAGCCCCGAGCGGGGACGCUUGAGGGUCCGGGCCGCGCCGUCGGCACCAUGCGGCCGCCCUGCUCCCGGAGCCCCGAGGGACAGGCGGCCGCGCGGCUCGGGACGCCGGCGCGGAGAGGGCACCCGGUGAGCGGGCGGGGGUGCCCGGGCGGGGCGCAGGCGGCUCCCGGGGGCGCUGCGCGUCGGCCCUGCCUGCCUCCAGGAUCCGGGGCCUGGCAGCCCCCAGAGGCGGGCGCCCGGACUCCGACCUGGAAGCCCGUGGCGCAGACGGGUUGCUUGCGCCCAAGUGAUGGGAGGAUGGCGAGCGGCCCGCCCCCAGCCGCGACCCCGAACCGUGAAGGGAGCACUAACGCCGGAAAGCCAUUGGCUGCUGUCAGACCGGGUCUGGCCGAAGCCUGUAGGGAGGGCUGGGCCUGCGGGUAGGGGAGGGUGGACGUGCCCGGCUUCCGGCUCUUCCGCCUCUGGCCAGAGCAGCACGUGGGCGGCCCUUUGCCCUGACCCGUGGCGGAAAGGAAGCUAGCAGGAGCCCCUGUGCAGGCCUCCAGGCUGAAGGCCUUGUGGUGGAGGCAGAUGCCCUGGGCAGUGCCUUCCCCGAGCCCGUAACCAACUUCGCUGCUCGGUUUUUACACAUCGGUUCUGUACUUGCCGUUCUGUGUUUCUCUCUCCACGAUUUCGGCACGCCAUAAAUGGCGGUUCCUAGGCCAAACCAGGGAGCCACUUGCUAUUUCUCCUUUCCUGGGGUGGCCCAGUCCAUUGGGCUCCAUGCCCUGUGAUGACACCACUGGCCGUGGGCAGUCACCCUUUCUGCCAGGCACAGGCAGCCCCUGCCCUGUUAUGCCUGCUUCUACAGCACCCCUGGGAGUCCAGCACUGUCCACGUCCCGGUUCUGCAGAGCAGGGAGGGUUUCGGGGGUGAGGUGACCUGCCCGAGGUCCCUCCAGGUAAAGGACAGCACGAGGGUUCGGGCUCCGCAGGGGAGCCCAGAGCCCUCUACCUGCUGCCGGGUUCCCAGCACUUGGCCUGUCAAGUUGCUCAAGAGAAUGGCUGUCUGCCCUGUGGGCACCCUCUCCCUCCACCAGUCCUGUGGUGGCUGCCACUCAGGGACUGAUUCGCCCUGGAUAAAGCAGCCACAGAAGUGCAGGCAGGAAUGGGCAUCCCAGAUAAGAGCCAGACGGCCCACGCCUCCCCCGGCGCUCGGCCUCGGACCCCGGGGCCCGGGCGCUCAUGACGCCUAUGCUGACCGCCACCCGGACGCCGCCGCUGCGAGCCUGCGCUGCCGCCCGGCCCGAUGCCGGUCAUGCCGAUCCCCCGGCGGGUGCGCUCCUUCCACGGCCCGCACACCACCUGCCUGCACGCGGCCUGCGGGCCCGCGCGCGCCUCGCGCCUGGCCCGCACCAAGUACAACAACUUCGACGUCUACGUGCGGGCGCGCUGGCUCUACGGCUUCAUCCGCUUCCUGCUCUACUUCAGCUGCAGCCUCUUCACCGCCGCGCUGUGGGGCGCGCUGGCCGCCCUCUUCUGCCUGCAGUACCUGGGCGUGCGCGUCCUGCUGCGCUUCCAGCUCAAGCUGUCGCUGCUGCUGCUGCUGCUGGGCCGCCGGCGCGUGGACUUCCGCCUCCUGAACGAGCUGCUCAUCUACGGCAUCCACGUGACCAUGCUGCUGGUGGGCGGCCUGGGCUGGUGUUUCAUGGUCUUCGUGGACAUGUGAGGGCCCGGCCACCUCGCCCUGGGGGGGCUCUGCUGGAAGCCCCGGGUGCAUGCACCUGCUGCAGGUUCUUUUCUUGAGACCUGGGAGGCCGGGCCCGGUCCGCCCUUGCCCACAGACACCACCUGGGUGCCUGACCUGGGAGAGGAGAGGGCUGAGGCUUUCUGUGAAGGGACCUUGGCACCUGCCCUCCUUUCUGUGCGUGCUUUCGGGGCAGGACCUCCGGCCACCUGCUUGUGGUUCCAGGCUGCACUUUGCCGAGCUGUGCCAGGGUGGGAGCUGGGGGGGGGGUCCGGUCUGCACUUGGGGAGCCUGUGUCCCUGUCCCCAAUCCAGGACACUGGCAUCGCCUCUGGAGUUCCCUGGGAGAGGGGCUGCCCAGGCGCACUUCUCGGGAGGGGUGUGACUGCUCCCGGCCCAGCCUUAGGGAAGCGUCAGGCUCCACCAGCAGACGCACCGCACUGCCACCAAGCUCUUCACUCUGCCCCGGGCCACCCGAGCCCUGGCCUAGCCCGCAGGCCCUCCGCCAUCUGUCACUCUGUGAGGCGCUGGUCCUGAGUCCCAGGCUGGGCUUCAGGGUCACCUCGGUUUGCCUGGCAGGUUCCCAGAUCAGGGUCAACCCAGAGGAGUGUGGGGCCCAGGGUCCACCUGUCUCCCUCCUGGGUGGCGGGUCCCAGGGCCCACCUGUCGCCCUCCUGGAUGGGCCUGUUGAGAGUGCCAGCCAGGUGCUGUCAUCUCGUCAAGCGUCCGUUUCUGGGGAGGCGGCUCUGUCUUUUUCUGGCUUUGGGGGGCUUUCCAUCCCAUCCCCUGAGGGAGUGUCCAGGAUGGAGACGUGCUUGUCGGAAGCAGAUGUCAGAGGUGGCCCGAGGGCACCAGGCUGGACCUCCCAGCGAGGGGCUCGGCCGCCCUUGUUCCUGCCUCGGCAGCUGUUAGAAUGGAAUGAGGGCGUUCCUGCGGAGGCUCAGUGGUUAACAAACCCCACUAGUGUCCAUGAGGACACAGGUUCAAUCCCUGGCCUCGCUCAGUGGGUUAGGGAUCUGGUGUUGGCCAUGAGCAGUGGUGCAGGUUGCAGAGGAGGCUUGGAUCCUGCGUUGCUGUGGCUGGGGUGGGUGUAGGCCAGCUCCAGUUCUACCCCUAGCCUGGGAACUUCCAUAUGCUGCACGUGCGGCCCUAAAAAAGCAAAAAAAAGCAAGUUGAACGUGGGCCGGAAAAGAGCAAGUGGCCCAGAGGGCUUCUGCUUGUGGAGAGAACACGCCGGAGGCUGGUGCUUGCCCAGACCCUCCCCCUGGCCUCUGCCCAGUGGGGCGUCGCGGGCAAGUGAGAGGGACUGAGUAACUACGCUGGGGCACCAGCCAGAGGCAGGACUCAGGGCCCCAAAUUGAGGGUGACACCUCAAAUUGUCCCCACAACCCCUGGGCACGGGCGGUGGCCCCGGCAGCCCUGCCUGGCCUGCCAGCCCAGCGGCCAGGGGCAGCUGGCAGGACCAUUAUGUGCCCCCCGCGAGGCAAACCCGAAUCAGGUAGAGAGCAGAAAAGUACUCGGCUGUGCGCCAAGCCCUUGACUCCGUAGCCAGCUUCGGGCUGACGCGGCCACGCGCGGUCCGGGCAGCUCCUGCAGGCAGAGGGAGCGAGUCCGCCUGACCUGCGUGGGUGGCGGGCCAGGAGCCGGCCCGCGCGGACCCUCUUCUCAGGGCUGCAGAGAGUCAUUUGCACUGGAUCACGCUGUUCCCGUAAAGCUUCGUCUUGUGUUCACUGGCAGCCGUUACCCGGGCCCGCGGAGGCUGCCCGCGGGGGCGUGGGCGCAGGGCUGGGCGUCGGGCCUCGGCGGCGCAGAUGCAGAGCUGCUCCCUGCCGCGAGUGCCUGUGAAGUCCUUUAUGGAAUGAGCCACCUGCAUUAAACUUAUUUUUUUA
rnacentral:lncRNA from 1 species